UGUGAAUCUGCAUGAGAUUUGUGGCAUUUCAGAGCUGUAUACUACCCAUGCACUAUAUAUUUGAGUGGAGAGCAGGCUCCUAUCUUCUCUGCUUAGACCUCCUUUCUCUCACCUUGUUUAGUUGCUUUGGUCCAUGUUGCCGAAUAGUGAUCUUAAAAGGAAAUCUUUCAUCUUUAAUGUGGACUGCAGAAAACUGAGAGGUGUUAGCUUAUUUCAGAUGCGGGUCUCGGAUUUUAAAUAUUUUAUAUUGUAAUUUUGGUGUUUUUUAGCAUAAAUUUAUAUUAUGCAUCGAAAGUAGUUAAGAAUCCGUAGUUGUACGGUGCAUGCAUCCUUAUUUCCCGCCAAAACAACAAAGAAACCUCUUUUUCCACACUACAAUCCAACUUGUUCCUCAAAUCAUUCUAUUUAUAGCACUGCAGCUUUUCCACUUUACUAUUUAAAUAGUGGUACUAUUCACUCCAUCAACCCCCUUAUAAAUUCUUCCCCUCCUUUUCACAAAUAUCACUCUUUUUGCUAUUACAAAUUUCAUCUUCCAACCAGUUCUUGAUCUCUUUUUAAUCUUCUAUAAAGGUAGAUUAAUGUUCUAAUCCUGUUUUCUACAAAACUUCAACUUAUCCCAUGAUAAGAAAUCCAGUCAUUUCUCCUAUGGAUAUAUCAAAAACAGUUAAGUUUUCCCAACACAUAGUCACUAAAAACAAACAUGUUUCUGAGCAAACCGAAAAAACCAAUUCCCAAACGGAGGUUUCACGGAGAGUUGUCCGAAUCAUACUUACAGAUGCUGACGCAACUGAUUCCUCGGACGACGAAGGACAAGAUAUUGCACGGAGAGUGAAGAGGCACGUGACGGAGAUCAACUUCA
rnacentral:lncRNA from 1 species